rnacentral:tRNA from 1 species
GCGGACGUAGCUCAGCUGGUAGAGCAUCUGCCUUCCAAGCAGAAUGUCGUCGGUUCGAACCCGAUCGUCCGCUCCA